rnacentral:lncRNA from 1 species
GUGUUGUGGUUGUCGAUGGAGCUUCAGUUGUCGUUCUAGGUGCUUCUGUUGUGGUCAUAGGAUAUACAGUUGUUGUAAUAGGAGCUGCAGUUGUCGUUGUCGUAGGAGCUGCAUUUGUAGUUGUCGUAGAAGGUGCUUCAGUUAUAGAAGUCGUAGGAGCUACAGUUGUUGUAGUAGAAGCUGCAGUGGUUGUCGAAUUAGGUGCUGCAGGUGUAGUGGUCCUAGGAGCUACAGUUGUUGUUGUUGUAGUAGGUGUUGUAGUUGUUGUAGGAGCUACAGUUGUCAUUGUAGUAGUAGGUACUGCUGUUGUAAUGGUCGUAGUAGGUGUUGUGGUUGUCGAUGGAGCUUCAGUUGUCGUUCUAGGUGCUUCUGUUGUGGUCAUAGGAUAUACAGUUGUUGUAAUAGGAGCUGCAGUUGUCGUUGUCGUAGGAGCUGCAUUUGUAGUUGUCGUAGAAGGUGCUUCAGUUAUAGAAGUCGUAGGAGCUACAGUUGUUGUAGUAGAAGCUGCAGUGGUUGUCGAAUUAGGUGCUGCAGGUGUAGU